rnacentral:rRNA from 1 species
CACGUAGGGUGCGAGCGUUGUCCGGAAUUAUUGGGCGUAAAGAGCUCGUAGGCGGUGUGUCGCGUCGGCCGUGAAAACCUGCAGCUUAACUGUGGGCGUGCGGUCGAUACGGGCAUCACUGGAGUUCGGCAGGGGAGACUGGAAUCCCUGGUGUAGCGGUGAAAUGCGCAGAUAUCAGGAGGAACACCGGUGGCGAAGGCGGGUCUCUGGCCCGAUACUGACGCUGGAGGCACGAAAGCGUGGGGAGCAAACAGG